UCCUUCUUAGCUCAGUUGGUAGAGCGCGUCACUAGUAUUGCUUAGCGACUACGACGAGGCCAGUCGUUCAAGUCGGCUAGAAGGAA